AAUUUUUUUCCGUUUAUGGCCUCAGAAUGUUGACUACUUCUGCGAACAGUAUACCACUAUUGAGGUCAUUUGUGUCUUUUUAUGUAAAAUUACUACUUUGUCCAGUGAGAAAAAAUGGCUCUCAAAACAGUAGCUAACUAUUUAGUGUUGUUUGUGACUUUUUGCCUACCAUUCUUCUUCUAUCUUUGGCUGUGUUUUCCAUUCCUUUCCUUUGUACAUCAGACACAAUCAAGAAUAGCAGCUGAACUGCUUCUAUGCAUGGUCAGAAAAAGCAAAGAAGCAGCAAAUACAGCUAUUCAAGCAAGUUAAGGUUUUGUGAAAUCUCAGAGACCAAUGGCCAUCAAGUGUUUGAUAAAAUAUCUGUGUGAAACUUGGGAUAGCAGAGCAAACAUGGAGAGAAUGAUCGCACAGGGACCAAAGGGGACGUUGUUGACACCAUUAACGGUGAUUUUGGCAAGUGAAUUUAUUCUGGGAAUGAUGGAUCUAAGAUGAACUUGGCUAAUGCGGUGGCUUAUUCUCUCCUACGAGUGCUAAUGGGCUUGUCAAGAGUAUUGGAGCUGGUGGAGUUGAGAACAGAAGUCAGCAAACUUUUGUAGGUUUUGGGGUUGGAAAAGAAAUUAUCCCUCAGUCAUCUAAGCUAGCUCAAGAGAAGAAGCCCUAGGUUUCUACUGCUAAUGGUCAUGCUACAGCCCUUGCUGCUAAGUAAAUUUUUCUCCUUUCCUCUGCUGCUUAACAUCAUAGGAAAUAAAUAAACUCUUAAAUUUUUGUUAAUUUCUAGUUCACUGUGUUUUGUUGGAGUAACAAAAAGAAACGUUUAUGUAUUGUUGAUAACAAGAGCCUAAGAGGCAAAAUUGCUGAAAUGAUAACUAGAACCACUGUUGUCCAAUUAAUUUCUUUAAUAAUCUUAUUUCAUUAUUUAAAGGACAGUCUUUAUGAACUCAUUAUGAUUCGAAUUGAAAUUCAUAUUCUUAUGGUGAAGGCUUGAACUUAAUAGUAUCCUAUAAUAACACCCAUUGCUUUAAAGACAUAGAACUUGCAUGUUUAACCAUGGCUUUGGUACAUGUUGACUUAAGACUUCCGAGUUUCAAUUUAGUUUUGCUAAAAAUGUCAAGUUUUGGUUGAUUUUUUCUUAGAAACUUUUGGCUUAAGACCCAAAAAUCUAUCCAUGUUGAGAUAGAAUGUACCAUUAGAUGCCCAACAUGCAAGGAAGAAACUGGAGUUGAAGCGAGGUAAUGGCAAAAUAUGAUAGGUGUCGCUUGGGAUUUGUGGUAAAUGAUGUAACAGGAUCUUUACAUGCUGUAAUUUUCAGUCCAUAUGCUUAGAAAUUGUUAUCAUAUACUGCUUUUCAUCUAGCCAGCUGAUGACCAAGUAAGUUCAACUCCAUGAGCUAUAACUUGAUGAGUUGUUGCAUAAUGAUGAGUACAACUUGAUAAAUGCGCUUAAAUGCUCUUAGAAGAACAAUUGUAGGAAAGGAUUGAAAUAUUAUACUAAAAAGUCAUAUUUUUCCUUAAAGAAUUAAUGAGGCUUUGUUCAACUUAUUUGAUCCAUUUUAUAGCUUUAAGUUUUGCUUAUUGGAUUAAUUCUUUUGUAUGACAUUUUAUCAUAAGUUUACCCUUACAAAUUCACGUAUAGCUUUUGAUCUUGACUCUUGAGAUAUCCUAAAGCCUUAUAAGAGCAUUCUUUUGGUCAGUUGGAAAUAAUUGAAAAAGAUAAGCUAUCUCAGUUAUGGCGUUGGCUUAUAAAUUUCUACUAUUUGGUUUUUGAAUGAGGCUGCCAUAAAAAAAAUGACUCUGUAUGCUUUAAUAAGUUAUUUGUAUCUAACGUAUCUGCUUAUCUGUUAAAAUUUUAGAAUGUUGCCUUAGUUUUGGAUUGUAAAAAGCCAUAUUGCUUCGCAGUUGGAAAUUGCACAGUCAACAUGUAAUUGUUGAUUAAAUAUUUCAAACAAAUAUUUCGAACAAAGUUCACUAAUGAAAUUAAGGAUGCUACACAUUUUGCUAAACUAGCCUCUCAUGUUGAGGGGGUUACAAUGGUUUUUUCAUCCAUGCUUUUAAUCUGGAAAAUCCAAGGACAAAAGGACAAGGAAAAACAACACUAUCAAAGCAUACGCUACUGAGGUUGGAGGUCAAAUUUCGACAGCAAUCCCAAAUGAAAUCACAAAAGAUGUUCCCAAAUUUCAUAUCAAUGCUCAAGAUCCUUUAUGAUGGCGUUCUCAUAAAGAACUUGAUGGAGUAAAUGCAAGUUAGCAAUCUAAUUAGUGGGCAGUCAGUAUUUCAAUUUAUAGUUGUCUAGGAUAUAGCACUACUAAAAAGUUUAUGACAGUCUGCUGAAUUACUUGGUAGUGGGAAAGUAGAAAAGAUGUUAAUAUUGAACCAGUGCUCAAUUUCUAAACUCUGUUAUUUUACUCAAAUGAUGAAUUUGUAUGCUUAAUUCUUCUUUCUCCCUUUUAUUAAUCUUCUAACUUCCUUUAAACAAUUUUCUUCUUACAGAUUCGGAUGAUUGCAGCUCUCAGCUCCAUUAGUUUUUAGCAUAUAUAAUAGAACCAAUCAUUAUAGCAUUUUUUUUCCUUUUUGGCUUUGGAUUCUUGAAAAAAUUACUGUUGAGAUUUUAAGUAGGAUAUAAAUUAUGUCAAUAUUUUGAAACUACAAAAUUGAAAUACAAUUCUAGAAUUUUACCUAAAUGAAAAAUGUAUUUAUGAACUAUAAUUAUGAUCUAUUAAUUUUUAAUCCAAAAUUCAAGAGAUCAUGAUACACAGAAAAUGGUACAUUAAAUGUUAUACAAUUGAACUAACAUUGCCACUUAAUAUAUUCCAAGGAAAGGGACUCUUGUGCUUUCUUAAGAAAGCAACUCCAAGAGAAAAAACAAUUAAAGGAACAGCUUUUGCCAUUAUCACAAGCUAUGAAGUUGAACAAGUCCUAGCUGGCCAGCAGACUUAAAUGAACCUUCACAAUGAUUAUGCAUAAAAUUAGUUUCCAACAAUGUAAUGCUUAUGUGCUUCAGAACUGAACUACUUGUGUUUUAAUUUAAUUAUCUUGUAUCUAUUUA